AAUAAAGUGCCUGACAAAAGGAUAAUUCUGAUAGGAUUAAGUAUAUAGAUAUUCUAUCUUUAUUA
rnacentral:tRNA from 1 species